UACGUAGGGACCAAGCGUUGUUCGGAUUUACUGGGCGUAAAGGGCGCGUAGGCGGCAAUUCAAGUCAUCUGUGAAAUCUCCGGGCUUAACUCGGAACGGUCAGAUGAUACUGCUUUGCUAGAGUGCGGAAGGGGCAAUCGGAAUUCUUGGUGUAGCGGUGAAAUGCGUAGAUAUCGAGAGGAACACCGGUGGCGAAGGCGGCCUUCUGGACAGUGACUGACGCUGAGACGCGAAAGCGUGGGGAGCAAACAGG
rnacentral:rRNA from 1 species